rnacentral:rRNA from 1 species
AGCAGCCGCGGUAAUUCCAGCUCCAAUAGCGUAUAUUAAAGUUGUUGCAGUUAAAAAGCUCGUAGUUGAAUUUCGGGGUUCAUCCGUUGGUCGGGCUUUUUUGGUCUGUACUGGCGUGAUGGAUUCCUACCUUCUGAAUAACCGGCAUGUCAUUAAUUUGGUGCGCUGGGGAAGCAGGACUGUUACCUUGAAAAAUUAGAGUGCUUAAAGCAGGCUAUCGCCUGAAUACAUUAGCAUGGAAUAAUGAAAUAGGACGGCAUGGUUCUAUUUUGUUGGUUUCUAGGAUCACCGUAAUGAUUAAUAGGGAUAGUUGGGGGCAUUAGUAUUCAAUUGUCAGAGGUGAAAUUCUGGAUUUAUUGAAGGCUAACUUCUGCGAAAGCAUUUGCCAAGGAUGUUUCAUUAAUCAAGAACGAAAGUUAGGGGAUCGAAGACGGAUCAGAUACCGUCGUAGUCUUAAACCAUAAACUAUGCCGACUAGGGAUCGGACGAUGUUAAUUUUAAUGACUCGUUCGCGGUACCG